rnacentral:rRNA from 1 species
UACGUAGGGUGCGAGCGUUAAUCGGAAUUACUGGGCGUAAAGCGUGCGCAGGCGGUUUGUUAAGACAGAUGUGAAAUCCCCGGGCUUAACCUGGGAACUGCAUUUGUGACUGGCAAGCUAGAGUAUGGCAGAGGGGGGUAGAAUUCCACGUGUGAGCAGUGAAAUGCGUAGAGAUGUGGAGGAAUACCGAUGGCGAAGGCAGCCCCCUGGGCCAAUACUGACGCUCAUGCACGAAAGCGUGGGGAGCAAACAGG